rnacentral:rRNA from 1 species
UACGUAGGGUCCGAGCGUUGUCCGGAAUUACUGGGCGUAAAGAGCUCGUAGGUGGUUUGUCGCGUUGUUCGUGAAAACUCACAGCUCAACUGUGGGCGUGCGGGCGAUACGGGCAGACUGGAGUACUGCAGGGGAGACUGGAAUUCCUGGUGUAGCGGUGGAAUGCGCAGAUAUCAGGAGGAACACCGGUGGCGAAGGCGGGUCUCUGGGCAGUAACUGACGCUGAGGAGCGAAAGCUAGGGGAGCAAACAGG